rnacentral:rRNA from 1 species
UGGAAUGCUUCAGAUUUCAGGAGGAACACCGAUGGCGAAGUCAGGUUUCUGGGCCGUUACUGACGCUGAGGAGCGAAAGCAUGGGGAGCGAACAGGAUUAGAUACCCUGGUAGUCCAUGCCGUAAACGUUGGGCACUAGGUGUGGGGUCCGUUCCACGGGUUCUGUGCCGCAGCUAACGCAUUAAGUGCCCCGCCUGGGGAGUACGGCCGCAAGGCUAAAACUCAAAGGAAUUGACGGGGGCCCGCACAAGCGGCGGAGCAUGCGGAUUAAUUCGAUGCAACGCGAAGAACCUUACCAAGGCUUGACAUACACCGGAAACAUCCAGAGAUGGGUGCCCCGCAAGGUCGGUGUACAGGUGGUGCAUGGUCAGAGAUGUCGAGUAUUCAAUCAAAUUG